AUGGCGCAUAAUAUCCAGCAUUUGCAGUCUGUUUUGUUCACUCUUAAGGUUUGUUUCCCGUUUCAGCUUCAAGUCUUCAGAUUUCAAGCAUAUGAUAAAUUGAAAGCAAAUAUAUAAUAUUUGCUUGCAUUUGAAUGUCACAGGGAGACUCAAUGGCUACUGAUGAGAGGCUUAACGCUCUAGAAGAAGAGGUUCAUAUCUUUUUCAAUUUCUUUUUGCAAUUUCAAUUCAAUGAAAAAGUAGCAGAAAGAGUUUGUUGGAUUUGAGAAUUAGGCUUCGCAAUGCUUUUUAGGUACAACUUCGAUCUCCAUGUUUUAGAGUCUAAAGCACAAGAUGCUGAGGAUAGACUCGAAAUGGUUGCCUCUCAGGCUCAAAAGGUCAUGCACUGAUGUACUCAAUCCAUCUAUGGUCUAUGGCUAUGAGUCUGUGAUGUUGUUAUUGUGGUGUUCAUUUUGCCAUUGGCUUCUUUCUCUUUGCUUUCAAAUGCCUGACAUUGUUACAGAACAAUGGAUUCAAAUUCAGCGGCUUGAGCAGGCUCUUCAUAUGACACAAGUUUUUUCUGCUUGA
rnacentral:lncRNA from 1 species